CAGAUUUUGAGUCAUGCCAGGGGCUCCGGUGAAAAUGUCAUGGGAAGCCAGCCCUCCGCGUCUAACAUUUCAGCUUGAGGGUGACCGGGAGCUCUGGGGUGGCCCUAGACCUGGGAAUGGACUCCCAGGCGCAGUGGCAGGCAUUUCUCUUGCUUUUUCUUUAUGAGUUGACCUGGGCUGGCCAUGUCCCCGUCAAUGCAGCUGGUUCUCAAAGGCCCCACUCUUCCCCGCGGCUCCGUUUACCACCAACGCGCUUGUCCCGUGGCACUUAGAGGGAGACCUGCUCCUCCUGAGAAUCCAGGAAGGAACUGAAGAGACGACGUUGCUUUCUGAUCUUUCUCAGGCCAGAGGAAGUUUGUGGGCCAAGUGAUAUUCCUAAUUCAAACUUUAUUAUGUAAUUAUAGUACAAAACAUAUUAUUUUUCUCUUUAUUUUUCCUCUCUCAGUUAAUGGUAAAUUGUAUUGCAUAAAUAAAUUACACAUGCUGUAAUUCAUG
rnacentral:lncRNA from 1 species